rnacentral:misc_RNA from 1 species
GAUGAAGAACGUAGCGAAAUGCGAUAAGUAAUGUGAAUUGCAGAGUUCAGUGAAUCAUCGAAUCUUUGAACGCACAUUGCGCCCGUCAGUAUUCUGACGGGCAUGCCUGUCCGAGCGUCAUUUCAACCCUCAAGCACUGCUUGGCGUUGGCGGAUUGCGUGCCCUCGCGGCGCUGCAACCGCCCAAAUACAGUGGCGGUCCCGCUGCGGCUCCCUUUGCGUAGUAACUCACCUCGCACUGGACCGGGCGGCGGACUGCCGUAAAACCCCAACUCACGAAAUGUUGACCUCGGAUCAGGUAGGAAUACCCGCUGAACUUAAGCAUAUCAAUAAGCGGAGGA